CGCGGUAUCUUGACCGUGCAAAGGUAGCAUAAUCAUUUGCCUUUUUAUUGGAGGCUAGAAUGAAGGAAAAAAUAAGAAUAUGACUGUCUCUAUUGCAAAAUAAAAAUUGCUGGUAGCGUGAAGAAGCGAAAGUAACAAAAAAAGACAAGAAGACCCUAUUAAGCUUUACUUUAAAAUUUUAUUUUUUAUCUUAAAAGAAUAAAAAAUAAAAUUAUGUUAGUUUGGUUGGGGUGACUAAAAAGGAAAAAAUCCUUUUUUUAGAAGAGUACUUUAAGUUUAAUAAAAGAUCCAAGCUUUUUGAUUAUUAGAAUAAGUUACUAUAGGGAUAACAGCGUAAUUUUUUCAGAGAGUUCUCAUUGACGAAAAAGAUUGCGACCUCGAUGUUGACUUGUU
rnacentral:rRNA from 1 species